rnacentral:lncRNA from 13 species
CGCCGGGGGCGUGGCUGGUGACGUCACCCCCCAUGGCGGCGGCCGGGAGCCGGGGCCGGGCUGGGCUGCGGGGUCCCGGCGCUGUCCCGGCUCCUCCGGGGAAGCCCCGGCAGCUCUUCCCGCAGCGCUCGGAGGCGCGGUGUCCCUCUCACCCACAGAAUCAAGCACAGGAUGGGUCAGGUUGGACGGGAGCACGGCGGGUCAUUGGUCCCACCUCCCUUCUCGAGCAGGGUCAUCGCAGAGCACAUGGCGCAGGAUGGUGCCCAGACGGGUCUGGGAUCUCUGCAGUGAGGGAGACUCCGCAAGCUGUCUCGGCAGCCUGUUCCAGUGCGUGGCCACUCGUACAGCAACGACGUUCUUCCUUGUAUUCAGAGAACUAAAAGCAGCCUUCUCAGCGAAGAGAGGAAGUGAGAGGCUUGGCCAGAAGGAAUCCCCCAGCCAAAAGAGCACAUCCCGGCUGCGCUUCCCGAAGGUGGCAGUGGUCAGCAUCCCGAGCAAAGGCAGUGCUGGUUCACGGAGGGAACGGGCACGAGCCCCGUGUGCAGAGGUGCCUCCUCAGCAUGGGAACUGGAUACCCGGCUUUUGCAAUCCCAGCAGCUUUCCUCACGCGCGCUCUGGGGUGGGAAGGCUGUGGCACAUGUUGAACCGGUUUCUGCAGUUCUUGGGGAUUUGGGGCGUCCCUGCCAAACGUGUGCUGAGCAUGGGAGGUUCCCUCCAGGAACAAACGGAGUGCCAAGGAGUCACUGGUCCAGUUUGCGUGUCCCUGUCCCACAAAGACCUUCUGCUCCCCAAAACCUCAUGAUCCUCCCGUGACUUCCACCUAUGCGUUCCCUGAAACCUGCACUGGGAAUGGAAAAGGGAAAAUGUCCUGUAGCCUCUUAGAGUUACUAGCCAGGAAUUUCAGAAAUCCUUCAAUAAAUUAUGUGAACACUUUAUUCCCUCCUUUGAAAAUGGUUGUUUUUUACAGAAUCACAGUAUCACUUAGGUUGGAACAUACCUCUAAGAUCGUCGAGUUCAUUUGCAAAAAAGUGUAAAGCUUCACAGAGCUGUUGAGGGCUGAAAAUAAGGAGUUUUACCGAAAUCUAGGGAAGUUGUAAACUUUCAAGGGAUAAAAGAGACAGCCUGGUCUUUGAUGCUAGAAAUUAAUUUAGGUGAUGUAGUAAGUAAUUUAGAUUUUCACCUGAAAGCCACUCCAACCACGCUGCGGUUUGUAUUUUUUAGAAUGAGGCCAUUUUUGCUAUUCCAGAUGGGAAGCUCUGAUUUGGGGCUUGGAGGCAGCGAGAGGAUUUUUGGGAGCUCUUCAGCAUGCUCAGCUAAGCGAUUCCUGCUGGGAGAGGAGCGCUGGGUGCAGAGCACACAGCUGCAGAACUGGUCAGGAAAGAUCUGAUGAAACAUUUCUGCACUGUGAAAAGUGCCAGCUCAUCAGAAUCCCAGCUGUCUGCAGGAAAGAGCUGGGCUCCCUGGAACUUUUAUCAGGAAAAUCUUUGUGGCGUGUGUGUACAUGCACAGGGUGGGGGGGAUGUGAUCCCAUACUAGCCUGCUGCAAAGAAGGUGCAUUUGGUGUGGAAGAGGUGGCUUUUCCUCUGGGGCAAAAGCUGGAUUGGUUUGACUUUGGGUUUGUAGAAGCAGAGGGGACUUCCCCCCUCCCCACCCCUGAAAAGGUUUUACAGCUAAAGGAAGAAGCCAUAAAGGGUUUCGGAUGCUUUGGUGGUUUUCCUCCUCAUUAUCGUUUUUAGUGAUAGUUGAAAAUUUUCAGUCGUGGUUUUAAGAGGAUUAAGAGAGGGAUGACGAUACAAAACACUGGUCUGUAGUUAAAUAUUCAGUGUUCUGGUGGGCAGCAAGGAUUUACAUCAAAUCCUGAAGUUUUCAUCAAAUCCUACCUACUCGUGGCCUCUCUGUGUUUCCUGAACCUCAUUUUUACAAAUCCGUGGGGACUUCCCUGAGAGGCACAGAGGGGACAGACCUGAGGCUCAGCCUGUGACACGGUGACCUACAGCCACCAAAGCUCCAGAGCGUUAAAAGAACAAAAGAUGCUGGGAGGUGACUGCUCCUUGCUGAGAAGGCAGCUUGGGUCCUGGGUGCUGAAGCUGAUGGAGCGGGUCCUGGAUCAGCUGGAGCUGAUGGAGUGGGUUUCCUUGGCCUUGCAGUUUUCUGGGGAGGGGUGAAGCCUGACCCAAGUUUUUCCUGUGGUGGAGGCUGUCCCUUGUGGGCUCUCAUUGUCUAACAAGAGCUGGUUCCAUGGCACUGCCCUACUCUCAGGUACAGACUCGUGGCACAGACUGCGAUCCCUGACUGGGCAUGCGGACAAACAUGGAAAAAAUGCCAUCAAAUGUGGCAUAAACGAGCAAAUGCAAGGUGGUAAUUCAUAGGAAGAUGCAGGGUGAUUAUUGAGAAUGAGGGUUGUUCUGAAGAGAAUUAGUUUUCCUCUUUGCAGUGCAUGGGCAGUCAUUUAAUGAAGAUGAAAACGGGAAAUGAAAUUGAGGAAAGGCAGCAUUGCUUUCUGCAGGAUGAAUCCUUGGGAUUGCCUGCCAUGGGAUGCCAGGGAUGCUGAGAACUUACAUGGAUUCAAAAAUAGGUUGUUAAAUUGCAGAAGCAGUGAGGUGCUGGACUGCUGGAGUCCUUGUUAUGGGUGAAAUUAGAAGGAACUUUCCCCAGGCAGCCUUUCCCUAUAAACUUCCUCGUUAUCCCUGUGUUCAUGGAUGAUCCCUCCAGGCUCCAGGCUGUCCACAAACCAUGAGAAGGACAAGGUGGUCAAAGGAAGGCCCUUUCAAGAGGGAAGGGGCACAGAUCAGCAGGAGCAGAGACAGUCAACACCUGCUGGCGUGUUUUAUUUCGCAGUUUUCCUUGGUGGGAGGAGGGAUUUGACACGGAGAGGAUCUGCUCUGCCCUUGCAGAGGAUCUGCUCUGCCCUUGCUGCUCUCAGCGGUGGCUGCUGCUCGGUGCUGUGAUUUUCUGGCAAGUCCCAAGGUCGCCGGUCCCCCCGGGGGACCUCGAAGGAAGCAGGGAGCGGAGCAGGCAGCUCCAUGGCUCUGGAGCAUCACUGUGCCACCUCCCCAUCCCGCCCAAGCGGGCAGCAGCCGCUCUGAGGACACAUCUGCACGCUGGGACGUGUACGGGGCUGCCGCUGUCAUUUGCCCGAUGGCUGCAAGGAAGGUGACAUUGAGAUACAGGGAGAGGGGGAAAAAAUAAUUAGGCUGAGACUCCUUUGGGCAGAUGAAGUACCCUGCGGAUUGCCGAGCUGUGGCUGCGGCUGGCUCCGUGCGGAAUUGCUGUGCUUAAUUGGAGGUGUUUAGCCCCAGUCGCCGAGGCUGCCGCCUUCUUCAGCUCAGAGUUCGCUGGGGAACAAAUCUCUCCAGCGCAAAACAUGGGCUUUGCUAGGCUGCAUCCCAGGGCUGUCCUGCUUCUUUAUCCCCUGGACACAAGGCAGGCUUUGGAAGUGGCACAGGACCCAUUGCAGGCAUAUCAGAGAGGGAAAAAACCAUACAGGAAGGUGGACUACAAUAGAAGGGUUGUCUGAUAGGAAACCCCAGACAAAUAAAUGCAUUUUUUUCCCCAGGAAACCCAAACCAGGACCAUAAACCUCUGAAAGAUGUGAGGUCACGUUUUUCCAAGGGAAACAGCUGCCUGAAGAAGCUGAUAGCUGGGAGUGGGAUUUUUUUCCCCCCUCUUUGUGUUUGGAGAGGCUGCUGGAGGAGUAGCAGGAUAUCUGAUGGGCAGAGGGACAGGUCACAGUUCUCCAGGGAAAGAGAGGGAAGUCCCAAGCCAGAGUGAGGGAAGGGAAUUUUUAAAUCAUUUGUGUAGGGGCAGAAGGGGGAAUCCCAGACCACUGGUGAAAAAAAAAAAAGAAAAAAAGAUGUGUAGGAGAGAGUCCUGCCUGCUUGGGACAUCAGCACUAUAAUCUCUGCUGUGGGAAGGGGGUUUUAACCCUGGAAACCCCCUUUGCUUUCUAGUACAUGGCAGUGCUGCAGGCUCACACCUCACUGUGGUUUUGGGGCGGGUGUCGCAGCGCUCUCAGAAGCCGAGGGAGCUGCUUCCUCCCCUUCGGGUUUAGGUCUGUAUUGAUUUGUUUGUAUUUGUUUCGCUUGUGUUUGGCUUUCAUUCAUCAGCGAUUAGUGUUUAGCUCUCUUGGCUGUGUUUUGGGAUGUUUCCCAGCUCUUCUGACCUUAUCUCCAUCAAGGAUAAACCAGAGCAGUUGGGAACCCUGGGGGAUUAGUUACCAAUAUCCGAUUGUGGCAGGUCCAGACUGCGUCCAUGUGAACAGUUGAUUUUUCUGGAAAAAAAACCCAACCCCAGACAACCUCCCUGCUCUUCCUCCUGAGCUCUGCCUGGGUGCCUCACAAUUUAGAUGUUUAUUCCCAUCCAGAAAUGAACUCAAGCUGUGGACAGAUUCCCAUUUGGAAAUGUUCCUCCCUGUCCUGUUUCGUUUGCGUCAGCAAUCACUGGGGACGCGCCUGAAUCUCCCUGGGGCUUUGGCUGUCCUGAAGCUCUGUUUUUGCUCCAGGCAGCUGUUGGUGCGAAGGCUUUUGCCUCAGCACCACUGGUGGUGAGGGACUUUGGAUUGAUUUGUUCCCAUCCUCCUCCAAGGAAGGGUCUAACUCAUGGGCCCUGGUCCGAACUGAAGAGCGAGGGGUCCGUGCGCUGCA